UACGAAGGGGGCUAGCGUUGCUCGGAAUCACUGGGCGUAAAGCGCACGUAGGCGGAUUGCUAAGUCAGGGGUGAAAUCCUGGAGCUCAACUCCAGAACUGCCUUUGAUACUGGCGACCUUGAGUCCGGGAGAGGUGAGUGGAACUGCGAGUGUAGAGGUGAAAUUCGUAGAUAUUAGGAAGAACACCGGUGGCGAAGGCGGCUCACUGGUCCGGUACUGACGCUGAGGUGCGAAAGCGUGGGGAGCAAACAGG
rnacentral:rRNA from 1 species